AUCCUUAUGCAAGGGAAAUACGCAUAUCAGUGAGGAUUCGUCCGAGAUUGUGUUUUUGCUGGUUGAAAUUUAAUUUUAACCUGACCUUCUUCUCAUGAUCGACUAUGGGAUGUUCGCCUUAUGAAUGUCUUAUGAUUAUGUAGAGACUUUUUGGACUCUUUUAUGAAAC
rnacentral:snRNA from 1 species